GGGAAUAUUGGACAAUGGGGGCAACCCUGAUCCAGCAAUGCCGCGUGUGUGAAGAAGGUCUUCGGAUUGUAAAGCACUUUCGACGGGGACGAUGAUGACGGUACCAGUAGAAGAAGCCCCGGCUAACUUCGUGCCAGCAGCCGCGGUAAUACGAAUGGGGCUAGCGUUGCUCGGAAUGACUGGGCGUAAAGGGCGUGUAGGCGGUUUACACAGUCAGAUGUGAAAUCCCCGGGCUUAACCUGGGAGCUGCAUUUGAUACGUGUAGACUAGAGUGUGAGAGAGGGUUGUGGAAUUCCCAGUGUAGAGGUGAAAUUCGUAGAUAUUGGGAAGAACACCGGUGGCGAAGGCGGCAACCUGGCUCAUUACUGACGCUGAGGCGCGAAAGCGUGGGGAGUA
rnacentral:rRNA from 1 species